rnacentral:rRNA from 1 species
UACGUAGGGUGCAAGCGUUAAUCGGAAUUACUGGGCGUAAAGCGUGCGCAGGCGGCUUUGUAAGUCUGACGUGAAAUCCCCGGGCUCAACCUGGGAAUUGCGAUGGAGACUGCAAGGCUUGAAUCUGGCAGAGGGGGGUAGAAUUCCACGUGUAGCAGUGAAAUGCGUAGAGAUGUGGAGGAACACCGAUGGCGAAGGCAGCCCCCUGGGUCAAGAUUGACGCUCAUGCACGAAAGCGUGGGGAGCAAACAGG